rnacentral:rRNA from 1 species
CCUACGGGAGGCAGCAGUGGGGAAUAUUGCACAAUGGGCGAAACCCUGAUGCAGCAACGCCGCGUGAGCGAUGAAGGCCUUCGGGUUGUAAAGCUCUGUCCUCAAGGAAGAUAAUGACGGUACUUGAGGAAGAAGCACCGGCUAACUACGGGCCAGCAGCCGCGGUAAUACGUAGGGGGCUAGCGUUAUCCGGAAUUACUGGGCGUAAAGGGCGCGUAGGUGGAUUGCCAAGUCAGAGGUGAAAGGCUAGGGCUCAACCGUAGUAAGCCUUUGAAACUGUUGAUCUUGAGUGCAGGAGAGGUAGGUGGAAUUCCUAGUGUAGCGGUAAAAUGCGUAGAUAUUAGGAGGAACACCAGUUGCGAAGGCGGCUCUCUAGACUGUAACUGACGCUGAGGCGCGAAAGCGUGGGGAGCAAACAGGAUUAGAUACCCGAGUAGUC